rnacentral:rRNA from 1 species
AUUGAACGCUGGCGGCAUGCCUAACACAUGCAAGUCGAACGGAAACGAUGGGAGCUUGCUCCCAGGCGUCGAGUGGCGGACGGGUGAGGAAUGCAUAGGAAUCUGCCCAGUAGCGGGGGACAACUCGGGGAAACUCGAGCUAAUACCGCAUACGCCCUACGGGGGAAAGUGGAGGAUCUUCGGACUUCACACUAUUGGAUGAGCCUAUGCCUGAUUAGCUUGUUGGUGGGGUAACGGCCUACCAAGGCGACGAUCAGUAGCUGGUCUGAGAGGACGAUCAGCCACACUGGGGACUGAGACACGGGCCCAGACUCCUACGGGAGGCAGCAGUGGGGAAUAUUGCACAAUGGGCGCAAGCCUGAUGCAGCAAUGCCGCGUGUGUGAAGAAGGCCUGCGGGUUGUAAAGCACUUUCAGUAGGGAGGAAACUGUAACGGAAUAAUACCGUUACCUGACGUUACCUACAGAAGAAGCACCGGCUAACU